rnacentral:misc_RNA from 1 species
GGAGGGAUCAUUAGAAAUGCUUGUUUUUUUCAUUUGGUGGACGUGUUCUUUGAAUGCGCUCAUCGGAUGGAAACAUCAUUUCCUGGCUUUUGUCGUCCCUCGUCCAGCCUCACGGCCGGGCUUGGGUGGCAAUUGCCGGAUAACCGGGAAGAGGCCUUGUGCCUCGACCCACUAUCUACACCUUUUUAGUCUGAACCUCUUCAGCGAAAGCGAGAGCAAUCUUACUUUCAAUGAUAAAAAUUAAAAUUAAAACAACUUUCAACAAUGGAUCCCUCGAUUCUCCCAUCGAUGAAGAACGCAGCGAAAUGCGAUAAGUAAUGUGAAUUGCAGAAUUCCGUGAAUCAUCGAAUCUUUGAACGCAUAUUGCGCUCCCCGGUAAUCCGAGGAGCAUGCCUGUUUGAGGAGUCUUGUCAACCAUCCUAGCCUCUGCUCUGGCCGUACGGCCGGUUGCAUCGGCUAGAACUCUUCAUUGAAAUGGACAAGAUUUAUUUGAGCUUCUUUCCGGCGCAAGUUGGAUAGCUCUAAAUGCAAAUAAACCAAUACUCCUAGGAUUUCGCCGUUUUCCACGGUCGAGCCCCAUCCACAAGGAGACUUGGGAACUUUCGCGACCUGCACUUGUGCAGGAGCAUGAGCAGAUCGAUAAAACUUCUCGCUCAAAGUUUUCCUUAGCCUUGUUAAGAUAUAUUUUUCUCGUAAAAAUGUUUUAACUACUAAGGAAGAUGAGAAGACAAUACAAGAUCUGAGCGUGUGCGUUAGUGCCCCGAGGCUCUGAUAGAUGGACCGGUCGAGGAUCAUGACGGCGACGUUCUAGUUCUCUUCUCCUCAAAUCAAGCAAGAGUACCCGCUGAACUUAAGCAUAUCAAUAAGCGGAGGAAAAGAAAAUAACAAUGAUUCCCCUAGUAACGGCGAGUGAAGAGGGAAGUAGCCCAAGCUGAAAAGCUGGUGGAUUAACAGUCUACCCGCAUUGUAGCCUAAGGAUAGGAUCGUUCUAUCUUGGUGGCCCAGGUACAAAUCCUUUGGAACAAGGUAUCAUAGAGGGUGAGAAUCCCGUCCUUGACCUGGUUGCUGCUUUGGUAGUGGUCUUCAUCCGCGAGUCGGGUUGUUUGGGAAUGCAGCCCUAAUGGGAGGUAAAUUCCUCCUAAGGCUAAAUAUUGGGGAGAAAUCGAUAGCAAACAAGUACCGUGAGGGAAAGGUGAAAAGAACUUUGAAAAGAGAGUUAAAUAGUACGUGAAAUUGUUGAAAGGGAAACGAUUGACAUACAGCCAUACGAGUCGGAAAUCAGCCGGGUAAUCCUACCCGGUGCACUUUUCGGCUUGUAGGCCAGCAGCAGUUUCGACCGUUGGAAAUGGGUAGAGGAAAGGUGGCUCACCUCGGUGAGUGUUAUAGUCCUCUAUUUGUACAAUGGUUGGGACUGAGGAACGCAGCUCGCCUCUCCUCGGAGAGGGUGGUGUAGUAGAUUCGGCUGGACUUGAACGGUUGGGGCUACAAAGGCUUGUACUUUGUACCCUACGGUCGAGGCCACUCGGGUUUGCUUCUUCCUACGGGCUAAGGUUGCUGGCAUAAUGAUGUUAACCGACCCGUCUUGAAACACGGACCAAGGAGUCUAACAGUGAUGCGAGUGUUUGGGUGGCAAACCCAAGCGCGUAAUGAAAGUGAGCCCUUUUGGGCGCGAGGUGCGACACCGUCAUGGUUGCAGCAUCGACCUGACCUCUGCUUCGGUUGGAGGUUUGAGUAAGAGCAUGACUGUUGGGACCCGAAAGAUGGUGAACUAUGCCUGAGUAGAGUGAGGCCAGAGGAAACUCUGGUGGAGGCUCGUAGCGAUUCUGACGUGCAAAUCGAUCGUCAAACUUGGGUAUAGGAGCGAAAGACUAAUCGAACCAUCUAGUAGCUGGUUCCUGC